UUCAGCCAAAAAGACGAUGCUGCGUGCGCUAACCCCCGAACUGACGGGCAUAAUCUUGACUUCAUGGACACCAAAAUUGAUACCGGACCCAACAAAGCGGGUGACUUCGUGGAAGCCAAGAGUGGACGUAUGAUGCUGCAGAGAUCGCUGUGCAGGCCAAAGUUCAGUUGCCAGGUGCGUUCGCCCAUGGCUCCCAAAAGAAUAAACAAGAUUUGACAACUCACCCCUUCGCAGAGCAAAGUCGCCGAGGUCCUGGAGAGAGCUUGUCGUCGUUAUUCAUCUGAUCUAUGGUUGCCAUGGUGGACAGAGAAGGAUACGGAUAUCAAAUACGGUGAUUUGUCCAGGAUGACUCCGGGAUGUCCAGGGAUGAAUCAAACUAACCUCGGUGGUGGUCUCCCGAUGGGCAUCGACACGAGACUCAAGAUGGGCGUCGAGCCGCGAGACUUAUGCUUUGACGACUUCCACUGGCACCCAGAGUCAGCGCCCUUCCACGAGGAACUGCGUGCAUAUGAGAAUCACGGAACA
rnacentral:lncRNA from 1 species